UGUAGAUGACGGUACCUGGAGAAGAAGCACCGGCUAACUACGUGCCAGCAGCCGCGGUAAUACGUAGGGUGCGAGCGUUAAUCGGAAUUACUGGGCGUAAAGCGUGCGCAGGCGGUUUGGUAAGUCAGAUGUGAAAUCCCCGGGCUCAACCUGGGAACUGCAUUUGAGACUGCCAAGC
rnacentral:rRNA from 1 species